GGAAAAGGAUUUUAAAAUGAGUUUUUAAAGCAAAUAAAUAUAUUUGUUUUUAUUAAACGUCAGGAUACAAUAUGAACUCUUCAUGAAUGAUUAUAAUUGACAGAUCUUUGUGCACUAAAAAUAUAAAAUGACUUCUGUGCUGUGUUACCACUGCAGAUCUCUACAAUCAUAGUGUUGCGUUUCGACAUAUAGCUGCUGUUUACACAUUGAUGUGUCUCAUGUAGCUUCUGCAGUCCAUUGUGAUGCCAAAUAUCUAGAAAAUCUAAUUUUUUAGCCAAAUUAUGUUAUUAAAGCUUGCUUGUUACAUUGUGUUCGAUUUUAAAAAGGUAAUUUUAUUUACAGACAUUUAUGUUGCCAAAAACUGCCCGAUCUAUACUUAGGGCUCCCAUACUUGUGAAAACCUUCCAAAACAUCGGGAAUUUAAAAUGAUUUCCAGGCUUGCAAAAAUCAUGAAACAUAAAAUGUUAAAGUCUCAAAAAUGCCUAAAGUGAGUGUAAAUUUGCGCUGACAAUGAGUUUCAGAGUCAUAUGCAUUGAGCUGCAUUCAGAGCUCAGGCUCGAUUUUUUUCUCUUUGGAGAUUUUUUACCCCAUGUAUGGUUGUUUAAAUCACUUAAUUCAGAGAAUUGGUACCUGAGUUACAAAUGAAACUCCAGUAUUGUCUAAAAUUUGAAUUAUGCUUAACCACUAAUAGCUGGAUAUCGUGAUAAUGAACAACUGUUAAUGUCAUGGAAAUGUAUUUGUUCAAUGAUAGGAGCCCUGUGCAAGAUCUAGACCCAGGGCUAUUAAAAUCUUGCCCUGGAGGGCCAGUGCGGUGCAGAGUUUGGCUCCAACCCUGAUCAAAGUCACCUGCCUGUGAUUUUCUAAUGAUCCCAAAAACCCUGAUUAGCAUGCUCAGGUGUGUUUGACUAGGGUUGGAGCCAAACUCUGCACCACAUUGGCCCUCCAGGGCAAGAUUUGAAUAGCCCUGAUCUAGACCGAACACAAAUGCCUUUUGUUGAGCUUCGUUCGUGUUUUCAUGAUUUUUUUUUUUGUUUCGUUUAUAAUAUACUAUAAUGUAUAAUAUAGUACACAAACUACCAUUCAAAAGUUUGGGGUCAGCAAGAUUUUUUUUAAAUUAAUACUUUCAAUUGAUAAAGUUGACACUAAAGAUAUUAAUAAUGUUGCAAGACAUUUCUUUUUCAAAUAAAGGCUGUUCUUUUGAACUUUCUACUCGCCAAAGAAUCAUAAAAUAAUCAGUUUACUGUAUUUUUUAAUAAAUAAAUGGAACCUUUGUUAGAACAAGACAAAAAUCCUACAGACCCCAACGAGUUGAACUGUAGUGUACAGUAUAUUUUCUUCAUAGAUUUUACUUUACUAGUUGAAGUUAAUAUUUUGCAUUCCAUUUUCAAUCACUGUGUGCAUGUUACACUUUUAUUUCCACAAUUUUUAUAUUUCACAUUGCUGUAGAUGUGUAAUGUGUUGAGAUUUAUGUGCAAAUCAGUAAAUACCAAAAAACCAAAGCAUGCUACAAAUGAGUGUGUUCAGUUGAACAUGCAGCAUUACUCAUACUGUCACAUACAUGAGUGUAUUGUCUCAUACUCACAGCUGUCAAUAAAACAGUUAUGGCAUUAGAA